rnacentral:rRNA from 1 species
UACGAAGGGGGCUAGCGUUGCUCGGAAUGACUGGGCGUAAAGGGCGCGUAGGCGGACUCGCCAGUCUGUGGUGAAAGCCCCCAGCUUAACUGGGGAAGUGCCGUGGAUACUGCGAGUCUGGAGGAGGGUAGGGGCAUCUGGAACGCUGGGUGGAGCGGUGAAAUGCGUUGAUAUCCAGCGGAACUCCGGUGGCGAAGGCGAGGUGCUGGACCCUUUCUGACGCUGAGGCGCGAAAGCCAGGGGAGCAAACGGG